rnacentral:rRNA from 1 species
UUUUAUGGAGAGUUUGAUCCUGGCUCAGGAUGAACACUGGCGGCGUGCCUAAUACAUGCAAGUCGAGCGAACAGACGAGGAGCUUGCUCCUCUGACGUUAGCGGCGGACGGGUGAGUAACACGUGGAUAACCUACCUAUAAGACUGGGAUAACUUCGGGAAACCGGAGCUAAUACCGGAUAAUAUAUUGAACCGCAUGGUUCAAUAGUGAAAGACGGUUUUGCUGUCACUUAUAGAUGGAUCCGCGCCGCAUUAGCUAGUUGGUAAGGUAACGGCUUACCAAGGCAACGAUGCGUAGCCGACCUGAGAGGGUGAUCGGCCACACUGGAACUGAGACACGGGUCCAGACUCCUACGGGAGGC